rnacentral:rRNA from 1 species
GAUGAACGCUGGCGGCGUGCCUAAUACAUGCAAGUCGAGCGAACGGACGAGAAGCUUGCUUCUCUGAUGUUAGCGGCGGACGGGUGAGUAACACGUGGAUAACCUACCUAUAAGACUGGGAUAACUUCGGGAAACCGGAGCUAAUACCGGAUAAUAUUUUGAACCGCAUGGUUCAAAAGUGAAAGACGGUCUUGCUGUCACUUAUAGAUGGAUCCGCGCUGCAUUAGCUAGUUGGUAAGGUAGCGGCUUACCAAGGCAACGAUGCAUAGCCGACCUGAGAGGGUGAUCGGCCACACUGGAACUGAGACACGGUCCAGACUCCUACGGGAGGCAGCAGUAGGGAAUCUUCCGCAAUGGGCGAAAGCCUGACGGAGCAACGCCGCGUGAGUGAUGAAGGUCUUCGGAUCGUAAAACUCUGUUAUUAGGGAAGAACAUAUGUGUAAGUAACUGCGCACAUCUUGACGGUACCUAAUCAGAAAGCCACGGCUAACUACGUG